CAAUAAUUCCAAACUCGCCUUUAAACCUUUUAGGAAGAAAUAUGAUGCACAAAAUGGGAAUGGAGAUUCUGUUUUUUUUAAACGAAUGUCUCACUGUCUUUUCCUUCUGUCCUCAUGCUCUCAACCGAGCCACAGCCACAUCCAAAAGAUUUCUUUCAGGGUAGUACAGAGGUCCUGCCUGAUGAACCAAAUUUAGGUGAAGUUAACCCUAAAUUAUGGGCCUCUCACAAAGGCAGGUUUAAUCCAGGUAAAACCGUAUCAUGCACUCAUGAAAACACACCAUCCGAUUUUUGUUAAACAAUAUCCAUUGUCGAAAGAGAAGAAUGUUGGCAUUGCUCCAGUUAUUGACAAUUUAUUGUCACAAGGUGUUUUGAUCGAGACACAUUCACCGUAUAAAACACAGAUUAAUCCCGUCUUGAAGGCAGAUAAAAAAUGCUGGAGGCUAACACAAGAUUUACGUGAGAUUAAUAAAUUAGUUAUUAAAAUAAAAUAGUUUUCUGAUAGACUGUGUAAUAUUGUGCACUUGGGUUUUUGUUAUUGUUUUUUUGAGGUCUUUAAUUUUACUUUUCAUACCGUUUUGAUAGCAGUAUUUUAUUUUCUAUUUUCUAAAUAUUUCACACUCUACAGUUGUUUACUGGUUUCUGUUUCUGUUUACUGUUUAAACCACAGCGAAACUAAAAUAACAGUAAAGAAAAAUAAGAAAAAUAAAUAUGGUUUGUUAGUUUACUAAUUUGAAUUUAUAUUAUGGUGUUUAAUUCAUUGGGGUUCUUUAUUGUAAUAAGAGACUGGCGUAAAUAGAAGAAUAUGAAUGGCCAAUUCACCAUUCAACUGCCGGGAAUUCAGAUCUUCUAAUUUUCGUUAAAAAUAUAAAAUUGUUACCUUUUGGGUUUAAAAAAUAGUUACAUACACAUCUGUAUUAUACAAAUGAGCUCAACCAAUGUAAACUCUUUAAUCAUUAAAAAUUGUGUCUAUUUGAUCAAACACUUAUUAUAUUCAGUAUAAAAGUGUGUAAAGGUGUAAACUGUUGACGUUCUCAAAUGUUAAUAAUAAACAAAAGAAUAACUGAAAAAACGACAAAAGUUUAUCUUUUGCAUUUCUUCACAAUAACAAUACUGAAAUGAUACAAACCCUGAUUUAGAAAGCAGUUUACUGAAUAUUGUGUACUGAACUGUAAGUACUGUUUGGACCUCAUUCUAAACUCCGUAAAAAGGAUUAUAAACAAUGCUAUAUGCAUCUCGCGUCCAUUAAGAAAGAAGAAUAGAAGGAUUUUACACACACACAGGAUGGGAUACAUACAGAAAUAGCGUCAAACGGUGGCUUGGUUUGCAGGGUGAGAAUCAGAGAAUAACAGAAACACACAAACAUUGUCUAGAAAUUUAAUUUGAAAAUGUUCCCGAGGACGCUGGAUUUCAUUCCACUACAGGUGUUUCAUUUACAAAAAGCGACUGGAUGCGGCAGAGAAACGUGACAUACAGCAUCCUGAAAUUCAAGAUGCUCACAAAGACCAGUCUGUGUGAUCGAGUAGUAGAACCUCAACAACUGAAUGUCCUAAAAAGAAACUGAGGUCCAUGACGGCCUGCUAGUAUCUUGUGCAGAUCCUGUGCUUUAUGCCUUGUGCAUCAUUUAUAAGAAAACGCACAAGUACAUUACUGUGACAGGCAAACGACAGAAGGAGCAUCUUUCACAGGCAGAAACGUUGUGUACAGGCCAGUUGCUGAAAGCUGCUGAGAUGAAGGAAGACACCAGCAUUCUUGUGCAUAUUCAAGACAAAGACACGUCUCUCUGGAGGUGCGAUACCACAAGUUCUGUUACAGACACUACACCAGGUUCUUGAUGAAGUCUACUGCAACAGUUACUGGGACCUCAGAAGAACAGUGACCUCAGAUGGCGCUAUUCACUUUGAUGGUAUGGCGGUCAUUCAAGCCCUUCAGUCCAUACCAAGUACCCUUGGAGAGCUCUCCGACACCAUACUGCACUACAUAGUCAAGCUUGCUUUGAAGCACAACUGUACACGAUAGACUUUGUUUGAGUAUCUGGAAAUGAGUAUUAAAAAUCUAGAAUGUUCACGUAGAGCUGCUGGUGGUACACAACUGGUGAAAAUGUAUGGAUGUGAUCAGAAGACACCAACACAAUGGAAAACGUUUCUAUCAGAUGGAACAAACAAGGAGGCACUGGCAGAAUUCCUCUAACUUGCGUGGCGAGAUGCUGAUCUUACCACUGUGGGCAAGGACUUCAGCUUCUACAUGGCACAUGGAGACCCGUGUCACUGUGUGACUGUAAUGCACCGUAUACACACUCUCAGUGCUGCUGAAGAUCUGACAUGUGAUCAUGAGCAAUGUGACACCACGAUGUUUUUACAGGCACAACAAAUUUCCAACAGAAGAACACUAUCAUUUUUACGGAUUCUAAACCGUGCCUUCAAGCAGUGAAAUCUCUGGAUCAUAACCAUCCUUAAGAUUAAUACUAUUUUAACCAAAGUUGAUCAUCUGCAGGAGCAACUCUAUAAAAUAAUGUUCUGUUGGAUUCCAGGACAUGUUGAACUUCCUGGAAAAGAGUGAGCUGAUGCAGCUGCUAAGAAAGCUUUAAAGCAGACUGUGACUGGAUGUCAAAAAGGCAAAAGAAAUCAUUUUCUGUUGCUUGUGAGAAAGGAAUACCUGAAUGCAUUUACAAAUCUGGGUAAAAGUUUUAAGCUGGACCAGUCCACCUUUGACAUACUUUGCAAAUAUGUGUGUCACCUCUAUGGCCAGUCAUCUGCCGAAAAUGUGAAUGAUGCAAGAUACAAAGCAUUCUGCAUGGCAUCAUCGGCUUUGCCAGAACUUUCCAUGCCCCAGACAAGUGAUGCCCUGCACCAACACUGCAAAAGGGCAAACUACCAAGCAGCCAAAAUGAGACAUUCUCUGAAAGCUAUAAUGUGUGCCCCUUCACCCAUUGGCAGUGGAUGGCACCUCAAGGAUGGGGAGGUAACAGUGACCUGGAUGACUAACACUCCUGCACCUGAAAGUGUUUUGCAGGUAGACCACUGCAGUUGCAAGCAAGACAAAUGUGAGACUGGAAGAUGUUUCUGUAUGUACUGAUUUUUGUUGGUGCCAAAAUUGUGCCAAUGUUUCAAAGGAAACGGAGGAAAAAGCUAAAUGGGAUUUGAGUGAAUUCAGAAAACUCGGGACAAAGUGUGCUGCUUGUUUAUGUUUCUGUGAUUACACAGUGUCUACUGAAGAAUGUGAUGUAUAACAUCACAGUUUUGCUAAAAUUACAAUGUGUAUGUUAAAUUUUUCUUGGUGCCAAUCCAUGAAGUUAAAACAUAUUUCCUACAAAUGUGCCAUAUUUUAUAGUCUACAUUCACACGUGAGUGUUUAUUGCACCAAUACCUUCCUCAGAUGUUUAGGUACGUGUAUAAAGGUCCAUUUGAGAAAGAUUUUAUGUUGCUAAAAUUAAAAGAAAUAAAGUUAUACGCAAAGUCAGCAGCAUAAGAUUUUAGGUUUUUUUUAAUUCACAAUUAUACACAUUUAUGGAUCGGGACAAAAAACUGCAGGAUUUUUUGUGGAGAACUUUAACAUAAAGUCCAAAAGGGUGUUGUCUUUGCAAAAAUGCAUUUAAAAAGUAAAAUCACUUUCUAGCCACUUUUUCCUAGUUUACCUCAUGGCCUAUCUACUAUCUUCUGUGUGUCUGGGAAACCUGAUAAUGCCCUGGGUAACAAUAAUUGUGGUUAUUGAAAGAACACUAAGACUGGUGAUGCACGAUGCUCAGACACAAUGCCUUCCUUCUGUUAUUCAGUAAUCACUGGAACCAAGAAAUCAUAAAGGUGAAGGUCCAGUCCUUUCACAAUGUAAAUGAUCCUGAAGUAAAGGUGGCCAUAUUGGAGAAGAUCAAGCUGAAAUGUAAGGAUCUUGGGUUGGCUGAGAUCAUCACAGUAAAAUGGAGAGAGCAACCAGAUGGAGUGGUGUUUCACAAGAACACAGGAAAUUAGUUUACAUAGUAAAAAGAGAAGUGUAAGUGUUUAGCUGAAUCUCGAAUCAUGUAAAUGUUUAUUUUGGAAGCUUUGUUGAGCUUCUAAAUGUUCUUCAUUGAUGAAAGGAUGAUAAAGAGAACAACCUCGUUCAAGAUAUUCAGCAUAAAUAAACAGCCAAAUAUUUAUCAAUAAAUAAAAUCA